UGGUGUAGUAGACUUCUAAGAAGU
rnacentral:piRNA from 1 species